CAUCCCCUGCGGUGUGCGUGAUGAGCCGAAUGCGUUGACCCUACAAUCAUUGUUUCGGAUGUCGGAUCCGUCUGGCCGCGUGUAUAUCCGAUGCUGCGAAUGCAGCCUCUCGGCUCACACAACCCGGGCGUUCGGCAUCCACCUGAACAUUAAGGGUUCAGAUAACCAUCAGUGCUCACACGGCUCGCGCGGAGGUUGC
rfam:Planctopirus limnophila DSM 3776 chromosome, complete genome.